GUCAGUUUUGUCAGUUUUGUCAGUUUUUUCAGUUUUUUCAGUUUUUUCAGUUUUGCCAGUUUUGUCAACUUUUGUAACACUUAUCGUGUUAAUAACAUUUGUCUUUUUUUCUUCAUUUCUUUUUUUUCUUUUUUUUUUUAUUUAAAAAAAAUGAUGAAUAAUAAUGCUUCUAUGCUUAUGUUUACAGCACAGGGUGUAUUGGCAACACUAACUUGUGGCCUGUGCUACUAUAUGUAUCUCUAUUGUAAUAAUAAAAUUUUUAUCAAUGAAAAGAAAAAAUAUGAAAAAAAUAAUAAAAGAAAUAUUACUAAAUUAAAUCCCGAUGUACAAUAUGUACCAAAAUUAAAAAAAAAAAAAAAAAAUGAAGAGAAUAAUACUGAUAGUAACAGAAAUAAAAUAAUAAGUAGAAAUAAAAAUGGAAAUAAUAUCGAUAUUGUAUCAUUAACUGAUAAUAUAAACUGUGUAAAUGAUAGUAAGACGGAAACUAUACAAAAAUUCAAGUGUAUUGCUACUACUGCUGUUACCAUUAAUAACGAAUUUAGUGAAGAUGAACGAGUUGAUAGAAGAAGUAACGAUAAUAUAAAACCAAAAUAUAUUUUACCUUCUUUUUAUAAUGGUACAAAUAAAGAAAAGAUAGAUGAUUAUGAAAAUUGUUUGAUUCUCGAAAAUGAAAAUAAUAACAAAGUUAUAAAAAAAAAUAAAAAGAUAAAUAAAAAUAAAAAAAUAAAUAAAAACAAAAAUGCAAAUAAAAACAAAAAUGCAAAUAAUAAUAAUGAUAGUGAUGGUGAUAGUGAUGGUAAUAGCGAUAGUGAUAAUAAUACGUUUUUUAUAAAAAAUGGAAUAAAUAAAGAUAAAGAAAAUACGAAUGAGGAAAAUUACGAUACUGAUGGAAAUAUAUUAAGCGAUACUGAAACAUAUUUAAAAAAAAGUACAAGUGCAUUUUAUGAAAAUGAUAAAAAAAAAAUAGAACAAACUCAUUAUAAUAACAUAAGAAAAAUCAAUAGUUUUUCACAUAAUAGAAUCCCAGGUAUUGAGAAUUUUAUUUAUGAUGAAAAUAAAAAUAUUCAAUUAAUUUAUUUUAAUAAUAAUAAUAAAAAAAAAAAUUAUGUACAUAAAAUGAUAUUAAAUAAGGAUAAAGAGAACAAAACAAAUCAUUCUUAUAUAUAUUUGAAUAAAAACCAAAUCAUACAAAAUAUUGAUAAUAACAAUAUUAAUUUUUUAUGUAAUGAACACGAGAACAACAACACUAUAGGUACUUUCUGUAAAGACUUUUUUACACAAAAUGGUAAUAAUAGCGUGGAUAAAGAUAUAGUACAUGGUAUGGGGGAUGACAUAACACAUGACAUGGAGCGGGAAUUGAAACAGGACAUGUCACAUGAUAUGGAAC
ensembl:lncRNA